AGGGGAGUAGCUCAAUUGGUAGAGUAGUGGUCUCCAAAACCAUUGGUUGCAGGUUCGAGUCCUGUCUCCCCUGCCA
rnacentral:tRNA from 1 species